AACAGGAUUAGAUACCCUGGUAGUCCACGCCGUAAACGAUGUCGACUUGGAGGUUGUGCCCUUGAGGCGUGGCUUCCGGAGCUAACGCGUUAAGUCGACCGCCUGGGGAGUACGGCCGCAUGGUUAAAACUCAAAUGAAUUGACGGGGGCCCGCACAAGCGGUGGAGCAUGUGGUUUAAUUCGAUGCAACGCGAAGAACCUUACCUACUCUUGACAUCCAGAGAGCUUAGCAGAGAUGCUUUGGUGCCUUCGGGAACUCUGAGACAGGUGCUGCAUGGCUGUCGUCAGCUCGUGUUGUGAAAUGUUGGGUUAAGUCCCGCAACGAGCGCAACCCUUAUCCUUUGUUGCCAGCGAUUCGGUCGGGAACUCAAAGGAGACUGCCAGUGAUAAACUGGAGGAAGGUGGGGAUGACGUCAAGUCAUCAUGGCCCUUACGAGUAGGGCUACACACGUGCUACAAUGGCAUAUACAAAGAGAAGCGACCUCGCGAGAGCAAGCGGACCUCAUAAAGUAUGUCGUAGUCCGGAUUGGAGUCUGCAACUCGACUCCAUGAAGUCGGAAUCGCUAGUAAUCGUGGAUCAGAAUGCCACGGUGAAUACGUUCCCGGGCCUUGUACACACCGCCCGUCACACCAUGGGAGUGGGUUGCAAAAGAAGUAGGUAGCUUAACCUUCGGGAGGGCGCUUACCACUUUGUGAUUCAUGACUGGGGUGAAGUCGUAACAAGGUAACC
rnacentral:rRNA from 1 species